rnacentral:tRNA from 1 species
GCCAGUGUGGUGGAAUUGGUAGACACGCCGGACUCAAAAUCCGGUUCUCGCGAGAGAGUGGCGGUUCAAGUCCGCCCACUGGUACCA